AAGUGAAUAUAUUAUGUAACGUGUGUAAAAUAAAAACAAACAUUUUAGGGAUGUCAAAAAAAUAAAAAUACCACCCGUGAGCAGAAAAUCUAAAUUCGUCUAUGGUUAGGCCAAUGUUGCAUAUGGGUAGUUGAUAAUGAAUAGAAUCCAUAGUUUAUACAUACUGCAUGCAACGAUAAUACAAUAUUGUAAAGGAAAAACGAUUCUGAGCGGAGUAAUAUUAGUAGUGUUUUCCUUUGUUGCUUAGGUAACAUAGCAAUCAACAAAAAUCAAACAACAACGAAACUACCUAUAGAGGUGAACUGUUUAAAAUGUCGGUAAAAUAUGUUUCAGUAACGCCAUGCGAAAAAAGUGCAUAUUUUAUUAAAGUACGACGCGAAAAAAUCCAGAGCAUUCUUAUAGUUAA